AGCGAACGCUGGCGGCAGGCCUAACACAUGCAAGUCGAACGAACCUUUCGGGGUUAGUGGCGGACGGGUGAGUAACACGUGGGAACGUGCCUUUAGGUUCGGAAUAACUCAGGGAAACUUGUGCUAAUACCGAAUGUGCCCUUCGGGGGAAAGAUUUAUCGCCUUUAGAGCGGCCCGCGUCUGAUUAGCUAGUUGGUUGAGGUAAUGGCUCACCAAGGCGACGAUCAGUAGCUGGUCUGAGAGGAUGAUCAGCCACAUUGGGACUGAGACACGGCCCAAACUCCUACGGGAGGCAGCAGUGGGGAAUCUUGCGCAAUGGGCGAAAGCCUGACGCAGCCAUGCCGCGUGAAUGAUGAAGGUCUUAAGAUUGUAAAAUUCUUUCACCGGGGACGAUAAUGACGGUACCCGGAGAAGAAGCCCCGGCUAACUUCGUG
rnacentral:rRNA from 1 species